GUUUUCACAGAAUCUAUCUUUUUGUUAUGUCAUAUCCGUGUGUGGUAACACUAUUAUUUAUAUUCACAGGGUGGCAACUACCUUCAAACAAACGUCAAAAAAUACCUUUUUUCUGUCCGCCUUUUUCCGGUCGGUCCUAAAACUUGUUAUCAACAUGAGGACUAUUAACUCCAAUCAGUGCGUUAAGAUCCCCAAGAAUAUCAAGGCGUCCGUCAAGGCCCGCGUUGUUACAAUAUCGGGCCCAAGAGGUAUUCUUAAACGCAGCUUCAAGCACUUGGCCUUGGAAAAAUACUUCCGCCUGAUGUACCACAUAUACUCAGGUAGGGCAUUCUAUUAAAUUCGCUCCACUCUCUGUUCCUCCGUGUAAUCGGUAUGCCUCAUCAAGUCUUGCAUGGACGACAUGUAGUCCUUAAAUAACGCCCGAGGCUUCUGCUUCCUUUGGCGUAUGUCGUCUUCUAAGUUUUCCAUGAAUUGCGGAGGGAGGAAGAACUUUAAAAGAUCUUUUCGGAAUGCCUCCCAAGAUUGCCAUGGCUUGCGAUUAUUGCGGAACCACAUUAAUGCCCAUCCGUGGAGAACCUCAGGCAUCAUUUUUACGAACAUCUCGGCAUGUUCUUCCAGUCACUCCACGAAUUCAAACGACUUACUCUCCCCAGCAAAACUUAUACCCAACACUUAUGACUUGAUCACUUCUGCUGCUGUAACCUGGAGAUUGUGGCAUUAAAUUCUCGCUGUCUAGGUGACCGUAGUUUAAUGCACGGUACGAUGAGUUGGAAAAUUUUGCAAGCAAAGAGGCCUACCUGUUUGGAUUGUAAUGUCAGAAUUACUAUCAACAAAUGCAGAAAGUUGUUUAUCAAAUAAACAAAAUAACUUGUUACAUUUAUUAUUAUUAGAAAAUUAAAUGAAAGGUGUACAAGUCUUUUCAAAAUUAUGUUCUUUA